UCCCACGCCAUAUCUCCUGACCAGGGCUGGACAGGUACGCUACACUGUCUGGAGGAAGGAGAGUAUGACGUUUACGUCUGUGUAUACACACACACCACACUCUAACACUAGGUCUCUCUCUCUUAUACACAGUCACACACACACACUCUAACACUAGGUCUCUCUCUCUUAUACACAGUCACACACACACACUCUAACACUAGGUCUCUCUCUCUUAUACACAGUCACACACCACACUCUAACACUAGGUCUCUCUCUCUCUUAUACACAGACACACACCACACUCUAACACUAGGUCUCUCUCUCUUAUACACAGUCACACACACACACUCUAACACUAGGUCUCUCUCUCUUAUACACAGUCACACACCACACUCUAACACUAGGUCUCUCUCUCUUAUACACAGUCACACACCACACUCUAACACUAGGUAUCUCUCUCUUAUACACAGUCACACACACACACUCUAACACUAGGUCUCUCUCUCUCUUAUACACAGUCACACACCACACUCGUAACACUAGGUCUCUCUCUCUCUUAUACCCAGUCACACACUACCUCGUUCCUCCUCGUCCAGGUCUCUCUCUCUUAUACCCAGUCACACACUACCUCGUUCCUCCUCGUCCAGGUCUCUCUCUCUUAUACCCAGUCACACACUACCUCGUUCCUCCUCGUCCAGGUCUCUCUCUUAUACCCAGUCACACACUACCUCGUUCCUCCUCGUCCAGGUCUCUCUCUCUUAUACCCAGUCACACACUACCUCGUUCCUCCUCGUCCAGGUCUCUCUCUUAUACCCAGUCACACACUACCUCGUUCCUCCUCGUCCAGGUCUCUCUCUCUUAUACCCAGUCACACACUACCUCGUUCCUCCUCGUCCAGGUCUCUCUCUCUUAUACCCCGUCACACACUACCUCGUUCCUCCUCGUCCAGGUCUCUCUCUU